rnacentral:rRNA from 1 species
UACGUAGGUGACAAGCGUUGUCCGGAUUUACUGGGCGUAAAGAGCGCGCAGGCGGUCGAUCAAGUCGAGUGUGAAAGCCCCCGGCUCAACUGGGGAGGGUCAUUCGAUACUGAUCGACUCGAAAGCAGGAGAGGGUAGUGGAAUUCCCGGUGUAGUGGUGAAAUGCGUAGAUAUCGGGAGGAACACCAGUGGCGAAGGCGACUACCUGGCCUGUUCUUGACGCUGAGGCGCGAAAGCUAGGGGAGCAAACGGG